AUUCCAUGGUGAGGACAGCUUCUGGUGUACCCCUUAAGACGUUUCCAAGCUUCACUGAGAGAUUCCUGACUGUCCUACCUAAAGGAGUUUAUAUCACUUUUGUACU
rfam:Arabis alpina cultivar Pajares Aa.chr6_contig_233, whole genome shotgun sequence.